rnacentral:rRNA from 1 species
UACGAAGGGGGCUAGCGUUGUUCGGAAUUACUGGGCGUAAAGCGCACGUAGGCGGACUAUUAAGUCAGGGGUGAAAUCCCGGGGCUCAACCCCGGAACUGCCUUUGAUACUGGUAGUCUCGAGUCCGGAAGAGGUGAGUGGAAUUCCGAGUGUAGAGGUGAAAUUCGUAGAUAUUCGGAGGAACACCAGUGGCGAAGGCGGCUCACUGGUCCGGUACUGACGCUGAUGCACGAAAGCUAGGGGAGUAAACGGG